UUACCUACGGGGGGCAGCAGUGGGGAAUAUUGGGCAAUGGGCGCAAGCCUGACCCAGCAACGCCGCGUGAAGGAAGAAGGCUUUCGGGUUGUAAACUUCUUUUGACAGGGAAGAGCAGAAGACGGUACCUGUCGAAUAAGCCACGGCUAACUACGUGCCAGCAGCCGCGGUAAUACGUAGGUGGCAAGCGUUGUCCGGAUUUACUGGGUGUAAAGGGCGUGCAGCCGGAGAGACAAGUCAGAUGUGAAAUCCACGGGCUCAACCCGUGAACUGCAUUUGAAACUGUUUCCCUUGAGUGUCGGAGA
rnacentral:rRNA from 1 species